rnacentral:rRNA from 1 species
UACAGAGGUCCCAAGCGUUGUUCGGAUUCACUGGGCGUAAAGGGUGCGUAGGUGGUGAGGUAAGUCGGAUGUGAAAGCUCGGAGCUCAACUCCGAAAUGGCAUUGGAAACUACCUUGCUCGAGGGUUGGAGGGGGGACUGGAAUGCUUGGUGUAGCAGUGAAAUGCGUAGAGAUCGUAAGGAAGACCAGUGGCGAAGGCGGGUCUCUGGACAGUUCCUGACACUGAGGCA